rnacentral:tRNA from 1 species
GUUUUUGUAGUUGAAAACAACGGUGGUUUUUCGUAUCAUAGGUCCCGGUUUGAGCCCGGGCAAAAACU